UGUAUCGCGCAGUGCUUCGAGAACUGGCACCUGAACCUCCGGCGACUCGAGCGAGGGUUACUGCACUAUCGGCCGGCAUCAUCACUAUCGGUGACUGGUGCUGCAAUAAUAUUCCACAGCGACCUUACUUGACAACUCUCCCCAAUAUCUAUAAUCUAUACAAGUGUUGGAAAGGCUGGGGCCAAGGAUCGACGCUCCCUGCCUCACUCGAUCCCGUGUUCGCAAGAAAGAUGGACACGGUUGCUUUGUCUUUUGAGUCGUGCUGCACUGUACAGUUUGUUAUCUUGGUAUAAAAUAAGUGUUUAGGUUACUACACAAAUUGGUCGGUAGUUCUUUGAAUAUUUUAUGUCUCCCUUUUGUCCUUUUCUGUGAAUUAAAGAUAUAAUUUUUCAGACCCUAGGGACUCUGUAACUCUGCAAGCAUAUUGUAUAUAUUAGAGCUAAGUAAUUCUGAAGGUUCCUAAAUGAUUGAUUGGGUCCAUAAUAUAUAGUUGGGACAUUUCCUCAAGUCAUUCCCUUCACAGCUUUCUUUGCCUCAUCCAGGGUUCCAUAACCUGAGCCUCGAGUAGACCGGAGAAUUUGUAAUGAAUAUAACUUAAUUCUUUAGCCUUCUCCCGGACUGUAAGAAUAUUUGUGUUUCUUACUCAUUAAGGUUUCCCUGUUCGUUUUAGAUUUAGGAGUUAUCUUGCCUAUACAGGAUUACUGAAACUUGAGUGUUACCUCCUUCACUUCACUGUGUCCGGGUUUCCAGUUAGGUUAUUUCCUGUUCACUUUUCUUGAAAAUUGUGUUCACGACUAAAUCUGUCUAUCAGCAAAGUCAAUGAGUUAUCGCAGGUUUAUUGUACUUGCUCCAAAAUGAACACCUGCUUUUUCAUAAAAAAAAUUGGUUCUGUCUUUUCCAUGUAAAGUCUCCCAUGGCUCUUUAAAACUUAAGUUUUUUGCUUCUCCACUUUACUUCCACAGCUUCAUAGAACUCUCCCACAUCAUCAUCAUCAUCACAAGUUAAUAUUGGUGCAUAGCCUAAGCCUUGAGUGGAAGGCCAUUCCCCCCCCCCUCACAGCCAUUCAAAAUAACUUGCCUGUUGCGAAUAACAUUGUCUUCAUUUAUUUCUUUGCAUCUUUUGUUAUAUAUAGCCAUCAAUACUUAUAUAUUUACAUCCAAAUGCAAAUAUUUUGCAUACCUAAGUCUUUGGUCUCGUCAACUUUCCCUCCCCUUCAGAUGUAUUAUUUACCGAGGAAUAAAUUUAAACCAUCAGAAAACUUGAGAAAAGUAUCAUCCGUAUAGUGUCCCCCAAAAUUUGACCUUAAGAAAAUUUUCUAAUUAAAUGACAACUCAAGUAUAGAGCAGUAAAAUAUUAGUCUUUCAGCUUUAAUGCAAAACAUUUGGCAUUUGGUGUUUUUAAUUUUUUCUCACAUCUUGAGAACAUGUCUGCUGCGGCUCAAAAGGAAGCACUUCAUGCUGGAGCAAGCUGAUGUUAGGCCUCACCUCAACUAUUUUUUUCCCUGAACACUUGUCACAAUGGUUCAAUGCUCUCACUUGACUCUUCAUCUACUUUCACUGGCAGCAGGGUCACUGAUACUCAAAACUCAGCAUCUUGCUGAAGAUGUGAAUUACUACUAAAAUAUGUUGGCAAAAAAAAAUUGGUUCACUACUUACUCAAUUUUCUUCAGGGAAGGGAAGACUGAGGUGGUGAUAUAUCAUUUUAUUUGUAAAAUGCUUAUGACAGUGCCCUCCAAAACAGUGGGAGAAGUUAUGCAUUUGAGGGAUGUUACUGUUUGUUUCUGAUACACAUGGAAAUAUUUUUACAAGAAAAAAGAGGAAGAUAUAAGAAACAGAGGAUUAUACAGCCAGUCAUUUGUUACAUAGCCUUAAUGGAAGCAAAAUUUUAUCUAACAGACAACAGAUUAAGGGUUUUGAUAACUGCCCUGCCUAAAGUUAUGGAAGUCAUGCAUAAUCUUGUCUGCAAACAAGUUUAUAUCCUGGUCUGGUCACAAGACUGUAAUCUUUAGUACCUGAAAAAAUAGGAAGGUAUUGUUCGAGCAUGAUAAGUCAUGCAACAGUGUUCAUAAGGGUCUUACGCACUUAACACACAUGAGCUCGGGGUAUGAUUUUUUAGUGUUCACUUUGAUGUUCUGUUUCAGGAUGUAUGUAUGGGAGGUUGCGUAUCUAAGGUGUCUGGUGAGCUGUUCAGUCCAAGAGGUAAUGGCCAGAACCACACGCAUGCUCCUUCACACCUCAGGAGUCCCUCCUUUCCUGCAGAAUGCUAUGAGCAGAGCCAAAUGAUAAUGCAGUUAUGUCCUGAUGAAGAGAGAAAUAUCUCCUCUUAAGCCACUAGUAAGACAUAAAGCUUGGGAGUGUCAGCAAAGAUGUACGUAACACACAAACAUUACGCUUGAAGCAAUGUAUCGUAUAAAUCUUACAAAAGACUAAAUUAACAAUAAUUCACAACAAAAUAACAAAUACAGAGGUUUAGUACUAGAGGAGACACUCUGGGCAGUGUCUGGGAGGAGGGUGGUUGCUUCACCUGUGCUUGCAGAGUAUAUACAUGAUAACUACCUAGUUGCAAGUAACCAAUAAACAGUAUAAUAAUUGCUGCAUUACUGAGGGGGAACUUCCAGGAGCACAAAGCAGCCUCCACUGCAAGGAGCAGAAAUCUGCCCUUCACAGUGGAAAGAAACGCCAACAAAACAUAGAUGUGUAACAAAAUAAAAAUAAAAUUAUAUAUAUCUAUAUAUAUUUAUAAAUGUAUAUACACCCUACAUCUCAAUAUCAGAACAGCUUAAAGUUGCACUUAUCAUUACAGUUUAAGACUGGAAUAAAGGACUUCCUUACCAAGACAGAUUAACUCUUAUUUAAGCUGUACAUGAUGGGACGAUACCAUGUGCAUACGUGUGAUGGCAUGCAUUAUGCAACAGAAUAGAAAUCUCUUAUUUCAGUUGAAGUCCCUUUCAUAAGCCCAAGUUGUAUGUACAGUGAAACAUGCAGAUGUGGACCUACAUGAAGUACACUCUUGCCACAUGCUAAGUAAUGAUUCUUUCCAAUCAGUGUUUGUGUAAUGCUAAUGUUGACUUGGAUGGCUAAGAACUCGAUUGCCACGCCUCUUAAUAGUAGCCUUAAAAGGUUGGUUUUCACAGGGAUUCCUUCAGCCAUCAUAUUUUAGACAAUGAAGUUGCAAUAUGACUUCAUGAAAUUAACUUCUACUUUUAUUAGAGUUUUUCUUCCACUUUCUAGAGUUGUCUGCACAAACAAUGCAGAAAGCAGUCUGAUCUUGAUCAUUCCCUUGCCAUCUCAACUUAUUUGCAAUUUGCUUUAUGUAGUGGACAUACUUAUUAUUAUGCACAAUCAUGCUAAUGUGUAACAGGACAGAAUUAUUACCUUUUGGUUUGAUUCACUCACACACACCAAGCAGUCAUGCACACACACAUUAUACAAAAGACAAAGAACUGUUCAUUACACGACCUGUGGCUGCCUGUCUGCCUGCCUGCAGUGACACAGCAGGUACCAAGUGUUGGACUCGUUACAAAAUGCCUGGUAACCUUAGCAGUGAGGCUCUGAUGUUACUACUAAAAUUACUUAUAAAAUGUGGACUGGGGUUGAUCUACUCUCCACAAUGCACUAUUAUAUGAAAUCACUAACCUUGUAACAACAAGGAGUAACGGCUAAGCUAUUGAAUAUGUGGUAAAUGUCAAAUGGUUUACACUUAUCAAAGAGAAGAGCAUGGUAUUCAUUGGAGUUGUAAGGGAAAGCAACCCUUCAGUAUGUUGAUUUGUUCAGCCGUAAUCUGAUGCUAAAUGUUUGAAAAUGCUUUAACAUUUUUAACUACACAAACUAUACAUAAAUAAAAUUCCAUGUCUAUUAAGUAACAACCAAAAACACUGGUUUGGAAAGAUACUUUUAUUCAGACUCCUAAUUUUCCUAGAAAAUAUAGAGAAACUGAAAAUGCCAUUUUAAGGUGGAUAGAAACUUUCCAGUACAUCCAUGCGUGUACACUAAAGUCAACAGUCCAUCAAAUCUCACUUAAAGAACAUGACUCCUCAUAAAUCCAUUACCACAAUGAACACCUGCACAGGCAGGUGUUCACACACACACACACACACACACACACACACACACACACACACACACACACACACACACACACACACACACACACA